UACAGAGGUCCCAAGCGUUGUUCGGAUUCACUGGGCGUAAAGGGUGCGUAGGUGGUGAGGUAAGUCGGAUGUGAAAUCUCCGAGCUCAACUCGGAAAUGGCAUUGGAAACCACCUUGCUCGAGGGUUGGAGGGGGGACUGGAAUGCUUGGUGUAGCAGUGAAAUGCGUAGAUAUCAAGCGGAACACCAGUGGCGAAGGCGAGUCCCUGGACAACUCCUGACACUGAGGCACGAAAGCUAGGGGAGCAAACAGG
rnacentral:rRNA from 1 species